GAUUGAAGAACGUAGCGAAAUGCGAUAAGUAGUGUGAAUUGCAGAAUUCAGUGAAUCAUCGAAUCUUUGAACGCACAUUGCGCCCCUUGGUAUUCCAUGGGGCAUGCCUGUUCGAGCGUCAUUUGUACCCUCAAGCACUGCUUGGUGUUGGGUGUUUGUCCCGCUUUGCGCGUGGACUUGCCUUAAAGCAAUUGGCAGCCGGCAGAUUGGCCUGGAUCGCGAGCACAUUUUGCGACCUUGUCAUAACUGUUUGGCACCCAUCAAGACUAUUUUUUGCUCUUGACCUCGGAUCAGGUAGGGAUACCCGCUGAACUUAAGCAUAUCAAUAAGCGGAGGA
rnacentral:misc_RNA from 1 species